rnacentral:rRNA from 1 species
AGCGAACGCUGGCGGCAGGCCUAACACAUGCAAGUCGAACGCCCCUUCGGGGGAGUGGCGGACGGGUGAGUAACGCGUGGGAAUGUGCCCUUUGGUACGGAACAACUGAGGGAAACUUCAGCUAAUACCGUAUGUGCCCUACGGGGGAAAGAUUUAUCGCCAUUGGAGCAGCCCGCGUUGGAUUAGGUAGUUGGUGGGGUAAUGGCCCACCAAGCCGACGAUCCAUAGCUGGUCUGAGAGGAUGAUCAGCCACACUGGGACUGAGACACGGCCCAGACUCCUACGGGAGGCAGCAGUGGGGAAUCUUGCGCAAUGGGCGAAAGCCUGACGCAGCCAUGCCGCGUGAAUGAUGAAGGUCUUAGGAUUGUAAAAUUCUUUCACCGGGGAAGAUAAUGACGGUACCCGGAGAAGAAGCCCCAGCUAACUUCGUG